UACAGAGGGUGCGAGCGUUGUCCGGAAUCACUGGGCGUAAAGGGCGCGUAGGCGGCUUGAUAAGCGUGCGGUGAAAGCCCGGGGCUCAACCCCGGGUCGGCCGUGCGAACUGUCGAGCUGGAGCACUGUAGAGGCAGGUGGAAUUCCGGGUGUAGCGGUGAAAUGCGCAGAUAUCAGGAGGAACACCGGUGGCGAAGGCGGGUCUCUGGGCCGUUACUGACGCUGAGGAGCGAAAGCGUGGGGAGCGAACAGG
rnacentral:rRNA from 1 species